UGACAUUAUGAGAAAUCCCCAUACAAUGAAAUUGAAGAAGCAUAAGGUCAAUUUGAAUAAUAUGCUCAGCUUUUCUUCCAUUCCUAACACAUCCGAACUUGAAGUCUUCACCACCGCUGCAGCGUAAGCCUACGCAUUAUUUUCUAUGCUUCUGAAGCGAGCUUAGAAUCUAUUUUGAAACCAAUGAUUGUGGAAAGUUACUUAUAUCAGACAUUGUUAUCAAGAAAUGUGAUGCUCAGUUAUGAUAUUACAGCAUCCUUAUCCUAUGUUCAUUGGAAAUUUUACUGUCUUUAAUUUUAAUCUACCUUGCUUGCCUAGAAAAUAGAUUGUUGUUCAUCAUCUUCUUGUUGGUAAAAGUAUAACAGAAAGUAUACAUCCAUAUGUUGUGAUGAUACACUCAAUUACUGUAGAUAGAGAUGCUAACUUUUGUUGGUAGUGUUUAUCAAUAACAGUAGAGGUUUGUGCUUGCUUAUCAAUAUCAGUAGACGUUUGUUCUUGAUGAUGACAAGAGAAGCUUGCUCUCGAGGAUCCUCGAUCAGAAAGAGAGCAAGAUGUAGGCUCAUGGGAUACCAAAACAAGUGGCUCAAUACAUGCAGAAACAUCAGCUGACAAGGUUUCAACUGAUAAGUACCAGAUUUAUGCUAACAACUACUAGCAACUAACAUUUCCGAUAAAAAAAAGUACUGGAUUUAUGCAGUUGUAGCUGCUAGUAACAAAUUUGUGGAGCUUUUGGUUGGUACCAUAAAUGUUUUGCAAACAAAGAUUGAACAUUUCAGCUCUGCCCAACUGUUCUGGCUUGAGGCUAGUCAUCGGAGAACAUAUGGGAAACAAUCCAAUCCAAUAUCCUUUUCUUACCAAGAUAUUCCCUGAUAUACUAAGGCUACAACUCUAAGCAUACAAUUAUUUUUCUCUUCUACUUGUUAAACAAAGAAAUUAAAAAAAUUACUUAAUCAUCAAAUUUGCAUGCUCAAGAUUUACAAGGUUUUAUACAAAUGACAAAGU